rnacentral:rRNA from 1 species
GAUGAACGCUGGCGGCGUGCCUAAUACAUGCAAGUCGAGCGAACGGACGAUAAGCUUUCUCCUCUGCUGUUAGCGGCGGACGGGUGAGUAAAACGUAGAUAACCUACCUAUUAUACUGGGAUAACUUCGUGAAACCAGUUCUAAUACCAGAUAAUAUUUUGAACCGCAUGGAUCAAAAGUAAAUGAGGGUUUUGCUGUCACUUAUAGAUGGAUCCGCGCUGCAUUAGCUAGUUGGUAAGGUAACGGCUUACCAAGGCAACGAUGCAUAGCUGAGCUGAGAGGGUGAUCAGCCACACUGGAACUGAGACACGGUCCAGACUCCUACGGGAGGCAGCAGUAGGGAAUAUUGGACAAUGGGCGAAAGCCUGACGCAGCAAUGCCGCGUGAGUGAUGAAGGCCUUCGGAUCGUAAAGCUCUUUUGUUAGGGAAGAAAAUCUGUGUAUGUAUCUGUGGAUAUCUUGACGGUACCCAAUCAGAAAGCACCGGCUAACUACGUG